rnacentral:lncRNA from 1 species
UAGAAGAUUGAGGAUAGUCCUGCUGUGUCCCCAGGGUCAAUUCAGGUUGUAUAUGGUUGUUUACAAACUUUUUGAACACGGGUCCAUACAAACAUAAAAUCACCCAUUCUAAUACUACACACAACAGAAUAAAAUCAAAUUACAAUAACAUCCAAAAAUAGUGAUCACAUACAUUCUCACAUGCAUGCAAUCGACAAGAAUAUUUUAUUACUGGUUCACAUCAUUGCCCAUUGUUUUACAUCAUGUCAAAGAGUAAUUCUAGACACAGAUAAGGCAAGUACAAUUAGUAUAGUAAGGUCUGACGGGCUUGCAAUCCGCAUCCUUGACGAGUUUCCCAUAUAUAGAUAUGCAUGUACUCAGGCAAGUAUAAAAUGCGCACAGAGUGGUCCCAAAAGCAACUUGCGUUUUGCAAUUUUCUGUACACAAGAAGAUAAAUCAUUGAAAGAAGUUCAGAUUGAGGAAGUUGCGAAGAAACUCAUGCAUGUCAACUGCCAAUAUUACUAUCCUCUAAUCAGUAGGAAAAAUAGGUCCAUGAAGAUCCAUUUCGUACCAGCAUGAGUGGAAUUUCCUAGCAGCAGAAGCACCAUAAGGCAAAGAAGAAUUGGUUUCCGCUCCAUAAUAUCACUCACAAGCUUCUUUUCGGUUGUUUUGGGAGUCGGAAGAUGCCA